UUUAUGGAGAGUUUGAUCCUGGCUCAGGAUGAACGCUGGCGGCGUGCCUAAUACAUGCAAGUCGAGCGAACAGACGAGGAGCUUGCUCCUCUGACGUUAGCGGCGGACGGGUGAGUAACACGUGGAUAACCUACCUAUAAGACUGGGAUAACUUCGGGAAACCGGAGCUAAUACCGGAUAAUAUAUUGAACCGCAUGGUUCAAUAGUGAAAGGCGGCUUUGCUGUCACUUAUAGAUGGAUCCGCGCCGUAUUAGCUAGUUGGUAAGGUAACGGCUUACCAAGGCAACGAUGCGUAGCCGACCUGAGAGGGUGAUCGGCCACACUGGAACUGAGACACGGUCCAGACUCCUACGGGAGGCAGCAGUAGGGAAUCUUCCGCAAUGGGCGAAAGCCUGACGGAGCAACGCCGCGUGAGUGAUGAAGGUCUUCGGAUCGUAAAACUCUGUUAUUAGGGAAGAACAAAUGUGUAAGUAACUAUGCACGUCUUGACGGUACCU
rnacentral:rRNA from 1 species